AACCACGCCGCAAUAGUAAUUCAACUUAGUACGAGAGGAACCAUUGAUUCACACAAUUGGUCAUCGCGCUUGGUUGAAAAGCCAAUGGCGCGAAGAUACCAUGUCUCAGAUUAUGAAUAAAUGCAUCUAAGUCAGAAUCCACGCUAGAAGCGAUGCUUGUCACUCCUCAAUUGUAUCUUGACCCACAGUAGGGGUGUUGCUUCAGCACCUCUAGGGGCCCGUGUCACUUGUGAACCUCGUCCAGGAAGCAUCUCGAUCGGGGUAGCUUUGAAGUUCAAUUUCAAGAGGUCAUUGAGAAGAAUCCUUUGUACACAACUUAAAUACGUGACAGGGUAUUGUAAGUGGCAGAGUGGCCUUGCUGCCAUGAUCCACUGAGAUUCAUCCCUUCAUUGCCUCGAUUC
rfam:Picea glauca, whole genome shotgun sequence.